GGACUGCGACAGUGUGGCGUUCCCAGCGCGGCAACAAAAGUAACCCCGGCGAUGACAGGCGCCCGGCGGUAACAAAAGUAACACGCGGAGGCCCCGUCAGCCCGCCCCGGGCUCCCGCAGAUUGGGGUUCAGUCGGCACCUUCUACAUGACAUGGUGGAGUGUGCAUUACAUAAAGCCCCCAGGUUACAGACAGGACCCCUGGGGCCAGGGGAGGUGGGUGCCUUGUGAUCUGCGUCAUGGUGAGGACUUCAGGGACAGAUGGCCAGGGAUGUUCCCAGGUGGUAGAGGAGGCUCCACUGGCAGAGAAGCAGCAUCAAGCUGAAGACAUUGGGGUGCGAUGGCUGGCCAGGACAGCUUGUCUCCUCGUCCGCACACGGGAACGCUGGAUUUCACUCUGUGACCCAGCCAGCGGUCUCAUCUCACAGCCGCAGCUUUCAGCAGGAAGGAGCCCACUGGUGCCUGCCUGACCUACGAGGGCCCGCACCGUUUUGCCCUCCUAACAUUUUGUAUUUGAAGUGCUUGUCACAGUCCACAAAAUAACCACUCAGAAUCUGUUACUAUUUUGUUUAUACGUUGUAUCAAGUGAAUGUUAAUAAGUCAUCUAAGUGUAUGCUUUAGUUAUAAAUCUUGGAAAAAUAAAAACUUCCUUUUGGGGGAAAAGUGAA
rnacentral:antisense_RNA from 1 species